AGAGCGAACGCUGGCGGCAGGCUUAACACAUGCAAGUCGAGCGGGCGUAGCAAUACGUCAGCGGCAGACGGGUGAGUAACGCGUGGGAACGUACCUUUUGGUUCGGAACAACACAGGGAAACUUGUGCUAAUACCGGAUAAGCCCUUACGGGGAAAGAUUUAUCGCCAAAAGAUCGGCCCGCGUCUGAUUAGCUAGUUGGUGAGGUAACGGCUCACCAAGGCGACGAUCAGUAGCUGGUCUGAGAGGAUGAUCAGCCACAUUGGGACUGAGACACGGCCCAAACUCCUACGGGAGGCAGCAGUGGGGAAUAUUGGACAAUGGGCGGCAAGCCUGAUCCAGCCAUGCCGCGUGAGUGAUGAAGGCCCUAGGGUUGUAAAGCUCUUUUGUGCGGGAAGAUAAUGACGGUACCGCAAGAAUAAGCCCGGCUAACUUCGCGCCAGCAGCCGC
rnacentral:rRNA from 1 species